rnacentral:rRNA from 1 species
CCUACGGGGGGCAGCAGUCGGGAAUAUUGCGCAAUGGAGGAAACUCUGACGCAGUGACGCCGCGUGCAGGAAGAAGGUUUUCGGAUUGUAAACUGCUUUAGACAGGGAAGAAAAAAGACAGUACCUGUAGAAUAAGCUCCGGCUAACUACGUGCCAGCAGCCGCGGUAAUACGUAGGGGGCGAGCGUUAUCCGGAUUCACUGGGUGUAAAGGGAGCGUAGACGGCCAUGCAAGCCAGGGGUGAAAGCCCGGGGCCCAACCCCGGGACUGCCCUUGGAACUGCAUGGCUGGAGUGCGGGAGGGGCAGGCGGAAUUCCUGGUGUAGCGGUGAAAUGCGUAGAUAUCAGGAGGAACACCGGCGGCGAAGGCGGCCUGCUGGACCGCGACUGACGUUGAGGCUCGAAAGCGUGGGGAGCGAACAGGAUUAGAUACCCCUGUAGUC